rnacentral:rRNA from 1 species
CGUAGCGACUGCGGACGACAUUAAAGAUUCCGGGCCCUUACCUGCCCAUUCUUUCCAGCUGUGCGCUUUGGCUGCACGCUGGAUGCAACACCUCACACCUGUGCACCAUUCCGGUUGCGGCUUCGGCCGCUGCCGCUUCAAAUGCAACUACUCAGUCUCGAAUGUCAACAAAACUAUAAAAAGUAACAACUUUCAACAACGGAUCUCUUGGCUCUCGCAUCGAUGAAGAACGCAGCGAAAUGCGAUAAGUAAUGUGAAUUGCAGAAUUCAGUGAAUCAUCGAAUCUUUGAACGCAUCUUGCGCUCCUUGGUAUUCCAUGGAGCAUGCCUGUUUGAGUGUCACGUAAACCCUCACCCUUGCGAUGUAACAGUUGCACUGCGGCGGACUUGGACUGUGCCGUAACCGGCUCGUCUUGAAAUGCAUUAGCUGGCGCUUUUAGAGUGCUGGGCGACGGUGUGAUAAUUAUCUGCGCCAAUGCCCUGGGCCUCUUCAGCGGUGCUGCUUACAGUCGUCCCUCUGUGGACAACUAAAAUCUAAAGCUUUGGCCUCAAAUCAGGUAGGACUACCCGCUGAACUUAAGCUUU